rnacentral:rRNA from 1 species
CCCUACGGGGCGCAGCAGGCGCGAAAACUUCGCAAUGCGGGAAACCGUGACGAGGGAAUCCCGAGUGCUCAUACAAUGUAUGGGCUUUUCUUAUGUGUAAAUAGCAUGAGGAAUAAGGGCUGGGUAAGACCGGUGCCAGCCGCCGCGGUAAUACCGGCAGCUCUAGUGGUAGCCACUUUUAUUGGGCCUAAAGCGUCCGUAGCCGGUCAGGUAAAUCCUUGGGUAAAUCGUACAGCUUAACUGUGCGGCUUCCGGGGAGACUGCCUGACUUGGGACCGGGAGAGGUUGGAGGUACUCCUGGGGUAGGGGUGAAAUCCUGUAAUCCUAGGUGGACCACCGGUGGCGAAGGCGUCCAACCAGAACGGCUCCGACGGUGAGGGACGAAGGCUAGGGGCGCAAACCGGAUUAGAUACCCGGGUAGUCCUAGCUGUAAACGCUGCAGACUUGGUGUUGGAGAUCCCACGAGGGUUUCCAGUGCCGGAGAGAAGUUGUUAAGUUUGCCGCCUGGGAAGUAUGGCCGCAAGGCUGAAACUUAAAGGAAUUUUCAAGAGCAC